rnacentral:rRNA from 1 species
GUUUACGGCCAUACCAACCUCAACAUGCCCAAUCUCAUCUGAUCUCGGAAGCUAAGCAGGGUUGGGCCUGGUUAGUACUUGUAUGGGAGACCACUUAGGAAUACCAGGUCUUGUAGGCU